CAGUCGCCGCGGUAAUACGUAGGGUGCGAGCGUUAAUCGGAAUUACUGGGCGUAAAGCGUGCGCAGGCGGUUGUGUAAGACAGGUGUGAAAUCCCCGGGCUUAACCUGGGAACUGCGCUUGUGACUGCACAGCUAGAGUAUGGCAGAGGGGGGUGGAAUUCCACGUGUGGCAGUGAAAUGCGUAGAGAUGUGGAGGAACACCGAUGGCGAAGGCAGCCCCCUGGGCCAAUACUGACGCUCAUGCACGAAAGCGUGGGGAGCAAACAGGAUUAGAUACCCCCGUAGUCCCUGUCUCUUAUAC
rnacentral:rRNA from 1 species